rnacentral:rRNA from 1 species
AGUGAACGCUGGCGGUAGGCCUAACACAUGCAAGUCGAACGGCAGCACAGUAAGAGCUUGCUCUUACGGGUGGCGAGUGGCGGACGGGUGAGGAAUACAUCGGAAUCUACUUUUUCGUGGGGGAUAACGUAGGGAAACUUACGCUAAUACCGCAUACGACCUACGGGUGAAAGCAGGGGAUCUUCGGACCUUGCGCGAUUGAAUGAGCCGAUGUCGGAUUAGCUAGUUGGCGGGGUAAAGGCCCACCAAGGCGACGAUCCGUAGCUGGUCUGAGAGGAUGGUCAGCCACACUGGAACUGAGACACGGUCCAAGCUCCUACGGGAGGCAGCAGUGGGGAAUAUUGGACAAUGGGCGCAAGCCUGAUCCAGCCAUACCGCGUGGGUGAAGAAGGCCUUCGGGUUGUAAAGCCCUUUUGUUGGGAAAGAAAAGCAGCAGGUUAAUACCCCGCUGUUCUGACGGUACCCAAAGAAUAAGCACCGGCUAACUUCGUG